rnacentral:lncRNA from 1 species
UGACGCAACGUCAGAUAUUGCUACCAUUUAGUGUAACAGAAAAAUGACGUUAAAUUGGAAACUCGCUUUAUCUAAUUCUUCCUGCUUUCCUUUUUGGGUAAAUGCAAAGUAUAACACACAAGUACAAAUGCCGUGAGAAUCCAAUCCAAUAUGAUUAUAUAUAUAUAUAUAUAUAUAUAUAAGGAUAUUCAAUUUUACUGCUAGUAAUUAUGUGUUUUUGGAGGAAUAUUGCUGCAUUAUAUAUUCAACCCGAG